rnacentral:tRNA from 1 species
GCCUGGGUGGUUCAGUCAGUUAAGUAUCAGACUCUUGAUUUCAGCUCAGGUCGUGAUCUCACAGUUCGUGGGUUCAAGCCCCGCCUCGGGCU